GGCAAUCCAAACCACGUGACCUCUGGUUGGCACACAAACUAACAAAGAGGUUAUGUUUGCAUCUAUUUUUCAAUGAUUUUUCAUUGUUUAUCGUCGUAUUUUGGAUUCAUUUGGAUUUCGUUUCCUGUUUUUGUGAACUUUAUAAACUUUACCACAAUGCAAACUGAUUAUUUAAGGAAAUUAUUAUUGGAAACUCCAGAUGUUGCGAGAAAGAUAUUUAUUGAAGCUGAAAAUAAUUGGGGAUUUAGAUCCAUACGCAAUUCAGUCAGAAUUGGAUUUUACAGUAAAGUGCAGUCCAUCAAGUUACUAUUAUAGAUAUUUAUACAUAUCUGGUGGAGUCUGAUAUGUCACAGUUGCUACUCUAAGCAGCAGAUGAAAGCAUACAAAAGCCUUCAGGCACAUAAAUAUUUUACAGCUGGAUUUGUUUUGAAUGGAGUAAAAAUUGUUAGGGGAACUGCGGGUAUUACCGCCCAGCGGCAAAUACCGCCCACUCUAUAAAAUAUCUUAAAUAUAGAGAAAUAGUAACUUUGGCAACAUCGAAAUGACGCCACGAUACUACUGAGAGAACCGUGCAACAAGGUCGCCGGCCAUAAGCAUAUUUAGUUGUUUCAGAGAAGUCAACGUGUUUUGUGUGGUGCCACUAUAAUUUUUAGGAGCUCGAAAAUAAUUUGAUUAAGAAUGCCAAAGACAAUGAUGAAUUCGCGGAAAAAGGCAACAUGGAGCGCAGAACAGCUUCAGGAAGCUAUAAAUGCAGUUAGAAGCGGAAAGGGGAAAAUGCAAAGUGCAAGAGAGUUUG